GACGAACGCUGGCGGCGUGCCUAAUACAUGCAAGUUGAGCGAUGAAGAUUGGUGCUUGCACCAAUUUGAAGAGCAGCGAACGGGUGAGUAACGCGUGGGGAAUCUGCCUUUGAGCGGGGGACAACAUUUGGAGACGAAUGCUAAUACCGCAUAAUAACUUUAAACAUAAGUUUUAAGUUUGAAAGAUGCAAUUGCAUCACUCAAAGAUGAUCCCGCGUUGUAUUAGCUAGUUGGUGAGGUAAAGGCUCACCAAGGCGAUGAUACAUAGCCGACCUGAGAGGGUGAUCGGCCACAUUGGGACUGAGACACGGCCCAAACUCCUACGGGAGGCAGCAGUAGGGAAUCUUCGGCAAUGGACGAAAGUCUGACCGAGCAACGCCGCGUGAGUGAAGAAGGUUUUCGGAUCGUAAAACUCUGUUGGUAGAGAAGAACGUUGGUGAGAGUGGAAAGCUCAUCAAGUGACGGUAACUACCCAGAAAGGGACGGCUAACUACGU
rnacentral:rRNA from 1 species